rnacentral:rRNA from 1 species
AUUGAACGCUGGCGGCAGGCCUAACACAUGCAAGUCGAGCGAGCGGCGGACGGGUGAGUAAUGUAUGGGGACUGCCCGAUAGAGGGGGAUAACUACUGGAAACGGUAGCUAUUACACCACACUAUCUCAUAAUCCAUAUGGGGUUAGCUAGUAGGUGGGGGAAUGGCUCACCUAGGCGACGAUCCCUAGCUGGUCUGAGAGGAUGAUCAGCCACACGGGAACUGAGACACGGCCCAGACUCCUACGGAGGCAGCAGUGGGGAAUAUUGCACAAUGGGCGCAAGCCUGAUGCAGCCAUGCCGCGUGUAUGAAGAAGGCCCUAGGGUUGUAAAGUACUUUCAGUCGGGAGGCGUUACCGACAGAAGAAGCACCGGCUAACUCCGUGCCAGCAGCCGCGGUAAUUC